rnacentral:misc_RNA from 1 species
UUAAGUUCAGCGGGUAUUCCUACCUGAUCCGAGGUCAACUUUUUGGGAGUAGCGCUAUUGGCGCUAUGGGGCGGGAGGCAGAACCGCGCCACGGCCGCCGGAGCGUUAAAGUUAGGUAACUACUGCGCUCAGGGCCGCGGCGGAUCCGCCGCUAGAUUUGGGGGCCUGCGGGAGGGCCGCAGCGCCCCAACGCCAGACAC